UUCCUUUGCGUAUAGACGAAAAGGUUAGUGGUCGUUAUGGUCCAGUUCUCCCUCAGGAACUCGUCCUGGAAAUCCUGUCAUGGCUUCCAGUGAUCGUUCUGAUGCGAAGUCUUGGAAUUCGUUAUUCUUGGAUCCUUCUUUUGUGAAGCUGUUCUUGAGUCGCAUCAGAACCAUGUUCCAUACACUGCUGCUCCAUAGUUGAUUAUUGUGGCUCCCCAUUCAAGUUGAAUGGAUUGGUCUGUUUGAGACCUAUUUCUCAUUAACAGGGAGACUGCGUCCUAUUAUGUAAUUUAUUCAUUUGAUUUGAGGAUUGAAACACACAGAUGUUUGUUACUGCCUGCUUGGUCGAUCUAGGGGCUGCUUAUGCCUCUGUCUUUCUCAUUAUCACCACGGAAAUCAUUAUUUCUCUGUUUGGCAAAUGAAGGAGUCUUGCUGAAUGUUAAUUGUGAUCAUGUUCAAAUCUUUAAUUCUCAACGUUCAUAUCACUUCCCAUUGUGCAUGUCUGAAAACAGCCAUGUUUUGUUGCUGUCAACCAAUGAAGAUUUUUAAACUUAUUACGUAUAACCGGAGAGAUGACUCUUGACAGAGUAGAGAAUAUUGUUGAGUGUUGACAUUAGCUCUAAAAAAAGUUUGGUUGCAAUCUACUGAUUAUGUUGAAAGCAUGGUUUUCCCUUAUUGUAACUGAGCUCCUCCGCAAUGAUUGGCUUAUCUGAAUUUAUGUGACUGUCAAUUGGCAAUCUAGGUACACGUGUAUGGAUUUGCAAAACAUUGCAGUGAUGUUGAAACUUCAAAGAAUGUCAAGGGAAAUUCUACAGAAGUCUAUAGACACAGGGGUUCUAUGGAAAAUAGAUUUAAGGCUCAGUCAACCAGAAAAUUUCAAGACAUUAUAUGUUGUGUUUUUUGUGGACUAUUUCAAAAGUUUCAAAUCCUGCAUUGAGUAGUUUAGCUUUUCUCAAAGGGUAUAUAUAUCUGCAUGAGAUAAGAUGGGUUAAACUAGAUAGCGAGACAAAGGUGUUGUGCACAUGAGAUUGGGCCAAAUGGUUUGAUGUAGUACAAAUUGUCUGCACAUGCAAAAGAGGGAAUGUUGGAAUAUUUUACGAAAUGUUUUAAUUUUUUGUGGUUUUCGCUUUUACUCUCUCUAGCCGCACUAUGUGAAAAAAUCCUUAAGAACAGUGUGUCUAACACACACGUCUCAGAGUCUGUCAUUGGUUUGCUCUUGCCUCGACGAUUCCGCCCUGAUCAGCAACCAUGACCAAUAUUUUGAUGGAACCUUUA